UACGAAGGGGACUAGCGUUGUUCGGAUUUACUGGGCGUAAAGCGCGCGUAGGCGGAUCGCUAAGUCAGGGGUGAAAUCCCAAGGCUCAACCUUGGAACUGCCUUUGAUACUGACGAUCUGGAGAUCGGGAGAGGUGAGUGGAAUUCCGAGUGUAGAGGUGAAAUUCGUAGAUAUUCGGAGGAACACCAGAAGCGAAGGCGGGCUCACUGGCCCGAUACUGACGCUG
rnacentral:rRNA from 1 species